rnacentral:rRNA from 1 species
ACGGGAGGCAGCAGUGGGGAAUAUUGGACAAUGGGGGCAACCCUGAUCCAGCGACGCCGCGUGAGUGAAGAAGUAUUUCGGUAUGUAAAGCUCUAUCAGCAGGGAAGAAAAUGACGGUACCUGACUAAGAAGCCCCGGCUAACUACGUGCCAGCAGCCGCGGUAGUACGUAGGGGGCAAGCGUUAUCCGGAUUUACUGGGUGUAAAGGGAGCGUAGACGGCGAUGCAAGUCUGAAGUGAAAGCCCGUGGCUUAACUGCGGAACUGCUUUGGAAACUGUAUUGCUAGAGUGUCGGAGAGGUGAGUGGAAUUCCCAGUGUAGCGGUGAAAUGCGUAGAUAUUGGGAGGAACACCGGCGGCGAAGGCGGCUCACUGGACGAUAACUGACGUUGAGGCUCGAAAGCGUGGGGAGCAAACAGGAUUAGAUACCCUGGUA